rnacentral:tmRNA from 1 species
GGGGAUGAAAUGGUUUCGACAGGGGAGGCUAGGCUGGGACUGCAAGCCGAGGCGCCUGGACCGCGUUAAAACUGGGCAAAACCAAAAGUGCCAAACAGCGCACUCAACCCGCUAUGGCGCUCGCCGCGUAAGCGGUGGCGUAGUAGCCUGACCGCUUGACGGUCACGUCCACCCUUUCCCUCCCCCGGGGGUAAAGAUCGGUGGGCGACAGCAAACCGGGGGUGCACUCCCACUUACGCCGAUACGUGGGAUCAAAGGCAGGGACACUAUGAACCCUGCAUCGGCUGGUCUGGGUAGCAGCCUGUUGGUCGGCGGCUGCCCAGGCGAGAACCAAAAGGUCAACUAAGCUUGUAGUAUGUCCCUGCUCGAAUCUUCUGGACGCGGGUUCGACUCCCGCCAUCUCCACCA